rnacentral:rRNA from 1 species
UACGUAGGGUGCAAGCGUUGUCCGGAAUUAUUGGGCGUAAAGAGCUCGUAGGCGGUUUGUCGCGUCUGCUGUGAAAACCCGCGGCUCAACUGCGGGCCUGCAGCCGAUACGGGCAGGCUAGAGUUCGGUAGGGGAGACUGGAAUUCCUGGUGUAGCGGUGAAAUGCGCAGAUAUCAGGAGGAACACCGAUGGCGAAGGCAGGUCUCUGGGCCGAUACUGACGCUGAGGAGCGAAAGCGUGGGGAGCGAACAGG